rnacentral:misc_RNA from 1 species
UGUGGGAGCUGGCUUGCCUGCGAUAGCGUCGAUUCAGUCAGCAUGGCUGUGGCUGAUACACCGCGAUCGCAGGCAAGCCAGCUCCCACA